CUACGGGCCGCUGCAGUGGGGAAUAUUGCACAAUGGACGAAAGUCUGAUGCAGCAACGCCGCGUGGAGGAUGACACAUUUCGGUGCGUAAACUCCUUUUAUAUAAGAAGAUAAUGACGGUAUUAUAUGAAUAAGCACCGGCUAACUCCGUGCCAGCAGCCGCGGUAAUACGGAGGGUGCAAGCGUUACUCGGAAUCACUGGGCGUAAGGAGCGUGUAGGCGGAUAGAUAAGUUGGAAGUGAAAUCCUAUGGCUCAACCAUAGAACUGCUUCCAAAACUGUCUAUCUAGAAUAUGGGAGAGGUAGAUGGAAUUUCUGGUGUAGGGGUAAAAUCCGUAGAGAUCAGAAGGAAUACCGAUUGCGAAGGCGAUCUACUGGAACAUUAUUGACGCUGAGACGCGAAAGCGUGGGGAGCAAACAGGAUUAGAUACCCCGGUAGUC
rnacentral:rRNA from 1 species